rnacentral:rRNA from 1 species
UGGGGAAUUUUGGACAAUGGGGGCAACCCUGAUCCAGCCAUGCCGCGUGAGUGAAGAAGGCCUUCGGGUUGUAAAGCUCUUUCGGCAGGAACGAAACGGCUCGGGUAAAUAAUCCGAGUCACUGACGGUACCUGCAGAAGAAGCACCGGCUAACUACGUGCCAGCAGCCGCGGUAAUACGUAGGGUGCAAGCGUUAAUCGGAUUUACUGGGCGUAAAGCGUGCGUAGGCGGCUUUGCAAGUCAGGUGUGAAAUCCCCGGGCUUAACCUGGGAAUUGCGCUUGAAACUACAGGGCUUGAGUGCGGCAGAGGGGGGUGGAAUUCCACGUGUAGCAGUGAAAUGCGUAGAGAUGUGGAGGAACACCGAUGGCGAAGGCAGCCCCCUGGGCCUGCACUGACGCUCAGGCACGAAAGCGUGGGGAGCAAACAGG